CAAGAUGGAAAAUCAUCAAGCCAUCCUUAGCAUGCUCACUUGCUGGGAGGUUGGUUUUUUUUAUUGAUAUUUGUUAGUGUGUAUUGAGUGUUAAUUGUAGGUUAAUAUAUAUUCCUUUUCAAAAAAGAUGGAUGAUGGACCUCCUAUAGAGGAGGAGAUCUUUUUUUUUUUGGAGAAAAUCCAUUGCACUACAGGUAUCCUUCUUACUUAUAUGCUAACUUUUAUAACAUAUUAUCCAAUUGUGACACCGUAUUUUCAAAUUCCCCAUGUCCAUCUCUGUGACGAGCACAUGUAAAUAACAUGGAGCAAAAUGUAGACAAAGCUGUAAGUUGGUGUAGAAAGAUGUCCUACACAUUAGUUGGUUUCUGCCAUGAUUCCAUGUAUUGAUGCAUGCAAUUUGAGGUAUUGAUGCAGAUUGAGAGCCAUUUUUUGGCAGUUCUUUCUUUUUGCUUUAUCUUGGUGGUCAUAACUGUGUAAGUGAUUAACAUAAUAAUCAUGUUAGUGAUUAUAGUUUUAUUUUUGUGGAUUAUACGUAUGAAGUACUCUUUGGAUUGCAUGUAAUGUUUGAACUAUUCCGAGUACAUUUCUAUGUACGAUUCUAU